AACGAACGCUGGCGGCAUGCCUAACACAUGCAAGUCGAACGAGACCUUCGGGUCUAGUGGCGCACGGGUGCGUAACGCGUGGGAACCUGCCCUUAGGUUCGGAAUAACUCCCCGAAAGGGGUGCUAAUACCGGAUAAUGUCUUCGGACCAAAGAUUUAUCGCCUUUGGAUGGGCCCGCGUUGGAUUAGCUAGUUGGUAGGGUAAAAGCCUACCAAGGCGACGAUCCAUAGCUGGUCUGAGAGGAUGAUCAGCCACACUGGGACUGAGACACGGCCCAGACUCCUACGGGAGGCAGCAGUGGGGAAUAUGGGACAAUGGGCGAAAGCCUGAUCCAGCAAUGCCGCGUGAGUGAUGAAGGCCUUAGGGUUGUAAAGCUCUUUUACCCGGGAUGAUAAUGACAGUACCGAGAGAAUAAGCUCCGGCUAACUCCGUG
rnacentral:rRNA from 1 species